UCAAUCCAGGAAGUCAACAAAAUAUUUUCGAAUUGGAGCCAGAUCGUUUUAAAACAAAACGAUACGCUGUGAAACAACUAGGUGUCUGAUUUUCGUUAGUUGUCUACCUACUUUCGCCCUUGUCUCGAAGACUAACAAUGUUGUUUGGUAGUAGUUCGCUGCGGUUUUCUCCCCUCCAGCCUCUGCCAGCUGAUAGCAAUGAUGUGUAUAGUAUGAAGUGUUACAUAUGAGACGAUGGUAUAUGAGGUAUUAUACGUGUCUAUACCUCGAUCGUAAAAUGUAAUAUUCAACUAACUGGUAUUUUUUGUACAUUUUGUAUUUUAUUAGGAUCCCCAUUAGCUGUAGGAAAAGCAGCAGCUAUUCUUCCUGUGGUCCACACAAAACAUGAAACAUUACAUAAUACAGAAAUAACAUUAAUAGACAAGGACAGAACUGCAUACAUUUUUUUAAGGCACACGUUGCCUACAUAUCAAUACAUACAGAAACUAUCUAGGUCUAAUAAGGGAGAGGUGUUGCUUUAUCUGUUGUUUAAACCAGGUUUGCUGUUUAUUUGAGAAAUAUGAGAUGGAAUGGAGUUCCAUGCAAUAAUGGCUCUAUAUAAAACUACGCUUUCUUGCAUUUAUUCUGGAUUUAGGGACUGUGAAAAGACUGGUGGCAUGUCUGGUGGGGUAAGUGUAAACAAUUUGGGAUUUUCAACACAUUAAUGUUUCUUGUAAAUAAGAAGUCAUGCAGUCAGUCUCUCUUCAACUCUUAGCCAAGAGAGACUGGCAUGCAUAGUAUUUACAGUUGAAGUCGGAAGUUUACAUACACUAAGGUUGAAGUCAUUAUAACAAAUUUUUCAACCACUCCACAAAUUUCUUGUUAACAAACUAUAGUUUUGACAAGUCAGUUUGGACGUCUACUUUGUGCAUGACACAAGUAAUUUUUCCAACAAAUGUUUACAGACAGAUUAUUUCACUUAUCACAAUUCCAGUGGGUAAGAAGUUGACUGUGCCUUUAAACCGAUUGGAAAAUUCCAGAAAAUGAUGUCAUGGCUUUAGAAGCUUCUGAUAGGCUAUUUGAUAUCAUUUGAGUCAAUUGGAGGUGUCCUUGUGGAUGUAUUUCAAGGCCUAUCUUCAAUCUCAGUGCCUCUUUGCUUGACAUCAUGGGAAAAUCAAAAUAAAUCAGACAAGACCUCAGAUUUUUUUUUGUAGACAUCCACAAGUCUGGUUAAUCUUUGGGAGCAAUUUCCAAAUGCCUGAUGGUACCAUGUUCAUCUGUACAAACAAUAGUAAGCAAGUAUAAACACCAUGGGACCACGCAGCCGUUAUACCGCUCAGGAAGGAGACACACUCUAUUUCCAAGAGAUGAACGUGCUUUGGUGCAAAAAGUGCAAAUCAAUACCAGAACAACAGCAAAGAACCUUGUGAAGAUGCUGGAGAAAACCGGUACAAAGGUAUACAUUUCCACAGUAAAACGAGUCCUACAUCGACUUAACCUGAAAGGCCGCUCAGCAGGAAAGAAGACGCUGCUCCAAAACCGUCAUAAAAAAGCUAGACUACGGUUUGCAACUGCACAUGGGGACCAAGAUUGUACUUUUUGGAGAAAUAUCCUCUGGUCUGAUGAAACAAAAAUAGAACUGUUUGGCCAUAAUGACCAUCGUUAUGUUUGGAGGAAAAAGAGGGAGGAUUGCAAGUGAAGCACGGGGGUGGCAGCAUCAUGUUGUGGGGAUGCUUUGCUGCAGGAGGGACUGGUGCACUUCACAAAAUAGAUGGCAUCAUGAGGUAGGAAAAGUAUGUGGAUGUAUUGAAGCAACAUCUCAAGACAUCAGUUAGGAAGUUAAAGCUUGGUCGCAAAUGGGUCUUCCAAAUGGACAAUGACCCCAAGCAUACUUCCAAAGUUGUAGCAAAAUGGCUUAAUAAGGACAACAAAGUCAAGGUAUUGGAGUGGCCAUCACAAAGCCCUGACUUCAAACCUAUAGAAACGUUUGACCCAAGUUAUAAGCAAAGCUACUGAAUACUAAUUGAGUGUAUGUACACUUCUGACCCACUGGGAAUGUGAUGAAAUAAAUAAAAUAUGAAAUAAAUCAGUCUCGCUACUAUUAUUCUGACAUUUCACAUUCUUAAAAUAAAGUGGUGAUCCUAACUGACCUAAGACAGGGAAUUUUUACUAGGAUUAAAUGUCAGUUUUUUAAAUGUAUUUUAUUUUACCUUUAAUUUACUAGUCAAGUCAGUUAAGAACAAAUUCUUAGUAAUUGUGAAAAACUGAGUUGAAAUGUAUUUGGCUAAGGUGUAUGUAAACUUCCGACUUCAACUGUAUAAAAGCCCUCUGACUACAAUGAAGAGAAAGACGUUCCGCUUUGUUCUGUGCCAUCUGCAGCUUAACUAGGUCUUUCCUUGCAGCUCUCAACCACACAGCUGGACAAUAAUCAAGAGAAGACAAAACUAGAGCCUGCAGGACUUGCUUUUUGGAGUGUGGUGUCAAAAAAGCAGAGCAUCUCUUUAUUACAGACAGAUGUCUCCUAAAUCUUUACAUCCAUUGAAUCUAUAUGUUUUGACCAUGACAGUUUACAAUCUAAGGUAACACCAAGUAAUUUAGUCUCCUCAACUUGUUCAACAGCCACACCAGUCAAUACCAGAUUCAGCUGAGGUCUAGAAUGCCGCAAUAGAGUGAUUAUUGGACGACACUACAACUCAUCAUAACAGACACGUGUAUCACCUCAAAUAUAACGACUCAUACUACAUUCGGUUACAUUCUAAUAUUGUUUACAUAUUGUGCGUCAUGUUCAAUGGGCCAAGAGAAUGAAAAUACAAGCGACAGAACCUAGCAACACUUUUCUGUGGAUAUCUCCAACUCCUACCGCCAAAAGGACCAGCAGCAUGUACAACCUGUAAAUCUGAUGUUUAGGCAAGCCCCAAGACAGAGCCUCUCCAUCCCUAAGUUGUCCAACCAUCCCUACUUCACCCUGGAGAGACUGGGGCCUGUGCUUAGACCGCUGGCAGGUGGAGGUACAGUCAGAGGCCUGAACAGCGACUCCUUCAACUCUAUCGGUUUUUUGCUUGUAGUCAUGUUUUAUUCUCGCUCUGAACUGCUGCUACUUCAUGUAGUAGGUGUAUGGAUGCUCUGUUUGUGUAACGGCAUUGUUGUCAUCUCCUCUUUCUCUAAUGUUUAUCUUCACUGAUACGCAAGUAUUUUAAAGUGUGCCCGACAACUGAUGUAAAAGGACUUUAUAAAUACAUUUGAUUGUACGCAAGUCUUUAUACUGCAUGUAUUGGUUAUCUAAUCUUUUUCACUGGUAGGAUUCUGUUUUUUUCCGAGAUGGUUUCACUACGACAGGUGAUGAUACCAGGCAAGUAAUACGCCAGUCAUCUGACGAUUUCACUGUCAAUAGUUUUACUAGUUUUAAUAGUGACUUGAGUUUAAUGAGUCGUCUGUGGUGGAUCGUGGACUUGUGCAACCUGUGGUUAUACUGGACCUCGCUGAGGUAAGCGAACACCCUCCCCAUUCUCAGGUGAUUCACCUGGUAUUGUCACAAUUGUAUUCAGUUCUAGUCAAGUUUAUUCCAUUUUAACCUCUAACCCAGGUUGUUUGUUCUUGGAAAAAACAUACUUGAAUGACUAAACUACUAAACUGGGCAGAAAUGACAGAGUGUCAACAUUAGCCUGCUAAUAAUCACUGAAACAAAAGGUAGACAGUCAGGGACCAUCAGCAUUUCCAAACAUGAUGAAAAGAGGAGCAUUUUUGGGGCUAUUUGACAGCAGAACGAACGCCAGUCUUAGACUUGGAGAGCAUCAGAAGUUCCACAAAUGAUGGAUAAUGGAAUUUCCCCCCUCAAAUUGUCCUUGCACAAUGUGGCAGUGUUCUGCCAAUGUUCUCCGGACCACAGCGAAGACCAGUUAUUUUCAACAUGUAUUUAAUUGGCACAGUUAACACAAUACAAAGUAUUCAGUGCUCCGAAAUGCAAGCAUAUACCAAAUGGAACACAAACAACAAAAAAGUGCGAAACACACCAUUUGGCAGACUUUACAAAACAAAAACAAUAAAACAAAGUCUUAGCAAAGCGAGAGAGAAAAAAAAGUAAUGGUAGGUCCUUUUAAUUGUUAAAACCUUAAAAAUAGACUGUUUAUUUCCUCUUUUUUUGUCUUAGUUGAAUCAAUAUUUAUUUAUAUAUAUAUUCUCUCUAAUUCCAACAAGCCAUUUCUUCUGUACAGGUGCACUGGGGCCAGGCUGAAGGUCUAGGAUGAUCCGAGUCCAGUAAUUAGCAGGAGAGGAGAUAAGCAGAUCCCCCUCUAUACUGGCUCGCUUCUGAGUGGCUCUAUCUGUCUGUCAGCGCACUACAGAUAUGCACCUU